UGAACGAGAAUCAGUAAGGAA
rnacentral:piRNA from 1 species